rnacentral:rRNA from 1 species
AACUCUUAGCGGUGGAUCACUCGGCUUGUGCGUCGAUGAAGAACGCAGCUAGCUGCGAGAACUAAUGUGAAUCGCAGUACACAUUGAUCAUCGACAUUUGGAAUGCAGCUUGCGGCCCCAGGUUCCUCCCAGGGCUACGCAUGUCUGAGGGUCG